rnacentral:tRNA from 1 species
GCUCUUGUAGCAUAGUGGUUAAUGCGCCGUACUUAUAUGCAGUAUCAGGCCCAUGCCCUGCAAGUCAUGCGGAUAUCGGCGGUUCGAACCCGCCCUAGAGCA